UCCUUCGCGAUGAAACGCUUCAGAUUUUGUACCCACUGUCUUGACCGCCAUGUGUUGGAGUUCUUUCAGAACUUUCGACAAACAGAAAGAGUGAAUUGGCUGAAGAUGAAAACACUCGAAUGAAGCUGUGUGUGGAAAAGUGAGAAUCAAGGUGGUGUUGCGGUAAUUGCAUCUAGAGAGAGGGAGAGGGAAGCCGAGUCUAUUGUCGGGAGUGAAGUGAGAGAAGGAAUCGGUUAGUGUGAGAGGUUGCACAGAUGUUUUU
rnacentral:lncRNA from 1 species